UACGGAGGGUGCAAGCGUUGUCCGGAAUCACUGGGCGUAAAGGGCGCGUAGGCGGCCUGAUAAGUAGGAGGUGAAAUCCUGCGGCUUAACCGCAGGGCUGCCUUCUAAACUGUCAGGCUGGAGCACAGUAGAGGCAGGUGGAAUUCCCGGUGUAGCGGUGGAAUGCGUAGAGAUCGGGAAGAACAUCGGUGGCGAAGGCGGCCUGCUGGGCUGUUGCUGACGCUGAGGCGCGACAGCGUGGGGAGCAAACAGG
rnacentral:rRNA from 1 species